UACGUAGGGGGCAAGCGUUGUCCGGAAUUAUUGGGCGUAAAGAGCGUGUAGGCGGCCAGAUAAGUCCGCUGUGAAAUCUCGAGGCUCAACUUCGAGCUGUCGGUGGAAACUAUCUGGCUAGAGUCCGGAAGAGGCGAGUGGAAUUCCUGGUGUAGCGGUGAAAUGCGCAGAUAUCAGGAGGAACACCAAUGGCGAAGGCAGCUCGCUGGGACGGUACUGACGCUGAAACGCGAAAAGCGUGGGGAGCAAACAGG
rnacentral:rRNA from 1 species